AAAAUCAAUGUGAAAAGUUAAGUAGGAAAAAGAAUUCGUUAUAUCCUUAAGGGCGCGUGUAGUUCGCAUUAUAUAACAUUACAGAUUAUUUGGACAUAUUCAGAUUUUUUGAAUUUCUAAAUGAGAUUACUACUGAUGUUACAUUAGCGCGUUUAGUUCAAAAUAGUAAUGUAAUGUUGGAUUACAAUAUAUAUAGUAUUACUAUAUUUGAUUCUGUUAAAAUUUAGUAAUUAUGACAGAAAAUAUAGUUUUUUU
rnacentral:lncRNA from 1 species